UCCACAUCGGCAACUCUUUGGGACAACAAUGGUUUGAAUAACCCAUUGGUUGGUCAAAUUGUUGACCUUCAUGGCAGCCCAACCUUCACCCAGACCUUCACUCCUCAUGUGGAGGGACGUUAUGUGACUUUGGUUCUACCUGGUUUAGCUAAGUACCUCACACUCUGUGAAGUGGAAGUCUUCGGGUACCGUGCCUCAACUGGAGAGAACUAGGCCCUCGAAGGAAACGCCACUCACUGCCAUCGAUGGGAAUGAUGACCGCAAGUGAACACGGCCCCUGGUUUCCUGAGUCUGUUGAGGUGGAGGUGUACGGCUCUCGUCUGGAUUAGGUCUCGUGUCUUGUGA